UACAAAUAUUACUUAUUAUACAACUCUAUAAUAGUCGUCGUAACCAAAACGUACGUAUCUGAAUAUAUGAUUCAUCUUUUCAAAACCAAAGAAGCUUAAACUUUCCUUCACAAUAUACAUCGUCGAUACAACAAUAAAUAUCCCAAAGGCAGAGCAACUCUCUCUUUCGACCGUGUCUCUUAAACAACUCUGUCCAUUACUCUCCUUCAGGUUACUCCGCGACUUUUAAAUUAAAAGUAUUUCGGUGGAAAAUAAGAUCGAAGUCGUGUAGUACAUUAACAACAGACUUUUACGAGGUCCUCGCGACCUGUUGCCACUCGGAGUAAUUUUUCUUGUUAGCGUCGAAAGGUCUAUCGCGACACAAUGUCCAAAUGGCCCUCUUCGUCGUUGUCGUGGCCGUCGAUGGCUUACGUAAUUUUUUGUUCGACACGCUAACGCUGCGGCUUAAUAUCGAGCAGCUUGUUCAUGCGCCGACGCACCGGAAAUGUUGUAACGUGGGAUGACGCCAAUGGAUAACCUUGUUGCCAUCAUUAUGCGGUGACUCGAGAUGGCUGUGCGCUGUUUGCUUACCGUCUCUCAUUGUGCAUCGUUGCUGGCUCUGAAUGGAAGGCAGUUUAAAUAAUGCUCGAGCCGUCGCACGUCUAACCAUUAAUCAUCCGCCGGAAGAAUUGCUCGAGGAUUUGUUUAUAAUUAUGUUGCUGAGCAUUGGUAACUUGACGUUGUUUGGCUGUGAAUUGUCGAGCGUGUUUGAUCGGUUCUUGUUGAGUUAGAGGAAAGAUCCUAGGUUUUUAGCGAGAGACACGAGGAAAUGUGUUUUACGACGGUGGCUAAUGAAAACUUAUACAAAUUGAGAAUGACUUGGAUAAAAAUUUUUGGUAGAAAAGGUAUGUCGAACAAAACAACUCGUAAUCGACCCGAG